rnacentral:snRNA from 1 species
GGAUGUGAGGGCGAUCUGGCUGCGACAUCUGUCACCCCAUUUAUCGCCAGGGUUGAUUCGGCUGAUGUUGCUGGUUAGGCAGGUGUCUCCUUGAUCUGGCUAGUUAGACAGAUGUCCCCUUCCUCCCUCACCGCUCCAUGCAUGUCCCUCCUGAAGCUGCACACUCAGUCCAAGAAGACGACCUUCCCAAAUAGAGGAGGACUGGUCUUCGGUCAAGGGUACAGGUGUAGCUGCGCUCUCCUGCUAGAACCUCCAAACAAGCUCUCAAGAAUGGUUUCUUUUUGUUGUUGAUGAUGUUCAUUUUUAUUUAUUUGAGAGCAACAGAGAGGAGGGAGAGAAAGAGAGA